rnacentral:rRNA from 1 species
CCUACGGGUGGCAGCAGUGGGGAAUAUUGGACAAUGGGCGAAAGCCUGAUCCAGCCAUGCCGCGUGUGUGAAGAAGGCCUUCGGGUUGUAAAGCACUUUCAGUGGGGAAGAAAGCCUUGGGGCUAAUACCCUCGAGGAAGGACAUCACCCACAGAAGAAGCACCGGCUAACUCCGUGCCAGCAGCCGCGGUAAUACGGAGGGUGCGAGCGUUAAUCGGAAUUACUGGGCGUAAAGCGCGCGUAGGCGGUCUGAUAAGCCGGUUGUGAAAGCCCCGGGCUCAACCUGGGAACGGCAUCCGGAACUGUCAGGCUAGAGUGCAGGAGAGGGAGGUAGAAUUCCCGGUGUAGCGGUGAAAUGCGUAGAGAUCGGGAGGAAUACCAGUGGCGAAGGCGGCCUUCUGGACUGACACUGACGCUGAGGUGCGAAAGCGUGGGUAGCAAACAGGAUUAGAUACCCCGGUAGUC